rnacentral:tRNA from 2 species
GCACAUAUAAUUUAUCGGGCAAAAUAAGUGACUUCCAAUCAUUUUAGGUGGGUUCAAGUCCUGCUAUGUGCA